rnacentral:rRNA from 1 species
UAUGGGCAUACCACAAUGAACGCUCCCAAUCUCAUCUGAUCUCAGAAGCUAAGCAGGGUUGGGGCUGGUUAGUAAUUGGAUAGGAAAAAGGUCUUCAGUAUCUGAAAUAA